GGGUUGUGAGGUUAAGCGAACAAGCGUACACGGUGGAUGCCCUGGCAGUCAGAGGCGAUGAAGGACGUGCUAAUCUGCGAAAAGCGCCGGUAAGGUGAUAUGAACCGUUAUAACCGGCGAUGUCCGAAUGGGGAAACCCGGUGCACUUCGGUGCAUCAUCGUUAGCUGAAUACAUAGGCUAACGAGGCGAACCGGGGGAACUGAAACAUCUAAGUACCCCGAGGAAAAGAAAUCAACCGAGAUUCCCCCAGUAGCGGCGAGCGAACGGGGAACAGCCCAGAGCCUGAAUCAGCUUGUGUGUCAGUGGAACGGUCUGGAAAGGCCGGCGAUACAGGGUGACAGCCCCGUACACGAAGGCACACAGGCUGUGAGCUCGAUGAGUAGGGCGGGACACGUGAUAUCCUGUCUGAAGAUGGGGGGACCAUCCUCCAAGGCUAAAUACUCCUGACUGACCGAUAGUGAACCAGUACCGUGAGGGAAAGGCGAAAAGAACCCCGGCGAGGGGAGUGAAACAGAACCUGAAACCGUGUACGUACAAGCAGUGGGAGCCUUCGUAAGAGGGUGACUGCGUACCUUUUGUAUAAUGGGUCAGCGACUUAUAUUCUGUAGCAAGGUUAACCGUAUAGGGGAGCCGAAGGGAAACCGAGUCUUAACCGGGCGUUAAGUUGCAGGGUAUAGACCCGAAACCCGGUGAUCUAGCCAUGGGCAGGUUGAAGGUUGGGUAACACUAACUGGAGGACCGAACCGACUAAUGUUGAAAAAUUAGCGGAUGACCUGUGGCUGGGGGUGAAAGGCCAAUCAAACCGGGAGAUAGCUGGUUCUCCCCGAAAGCUAUUUAGGUAGCGCCUCGUGAACUCAUCUCCGGGGGUAGAGCACUGUUUCGGCUAGGGGGCCAUCCCGGCUUACCAACCCGAUGCAAACUGCGAAUACCGGAGAAUGUUAUCACGGGAGACACACGGCGGGUGCUAACGUCCGUCGUGAAGAGGGAAACAACCCAGACCGCCAGCUAAGGUCCCAAAGUCAUGGUUAAGUGGGAAACGAUGUGGGAAGGCCCAGACAGCCAGGAUGUUGGCUUAGAAGCAGCCAUCAUUUAAAGAAAGCGUAAUAGCUCACUGGUCGAGUCGGCCUGCGCGGAAGAUGUAACGGGGCUAAACCAUGCACCGAAGCUGCGGCAGCGACACUAUGUGUUGUUGGGUAGGGGAGCGUUCUGUAAGCCUGUGAAGGUGUGCUGUGAGGCAUGCUGGAGGUAUCAGAAGUGCGAAUGCUGACAUAAGUAACGAUAAAGCGGGUGAAAAGCCCGCUCGCCGGAAGACCAAGGGUUCCUGUCCAACGUUAAUCGGGGCAGGGUGAGUCGACCCCUAAGGCGAGGCCGAAAGGCGUAGUCGAUGGGAAACAGGUUAAUAUUCCUGUACUUGGUGUUACUGCGAAGGGGGGACGGAGAAGGCUAUGUCGGCCGGGCGACGGUUGUCCCGGUUUAAGCGUGUAGGCUGACUUUCCAGGCAAAUCCGGAAGGUUAAGGCUGAGGCGUGAUGACGAGGCACCACGGUGCUGAAGUGACAAAUGCCCUGCUUCCAGGAAAAGCCUCUAAGCAUCAGGUAACAUCAAAUCGUACCCCAAACCGACACAGGUGGUCAGGUAGAGAAUACCAAGGCGCUUGAGAGAACUCGGGUGAAGGAACUAGGCAAAAUGGUGCCGUAACUUCGGGAGAAGGCACGCUGACAUGUAGGUGAAGCCCCUGCGGGUGGAGCUGAAGUCAGUCGAAGAUACCAGCUGGCUGCAACUGUUUAUUAAAAACACAGCACUGUGCAAACACGAAAGUGGACGUAUACGGUGUGACGCCUGCCCGGUGCCGGAAGGUUAAUUGAUGGGGUUAUCGCAAGAGAAGCUCCUGAUCGAAGCCCCGGUAAACGGCGGCCGUAACUAUAACGGUCCUAAGGUAGCGAAAUUCCUUGUCGGGUAAGUUCCGACCUGCACGAAUGGCGUAAUGAUGGCCAGGCUGUCUCCACCCGAGACUCAGUGAAAUUGAACUCGCUGUGAAGAUGCAGUGUACCCGCGGCAAGACGGAAAGACCCCGUGAACCUUUACUACAGCUUGACACUGAACAUUGAGCCUUGAUGUGUAGGAUAGGUGGGAGGCUUUGAAGCGUGGACGCCAGUCUGCGUGGAGCCGACCUUGAAAUACCACCCUUUAAUGUUUGAUGUUCUAACCUGGCGCCGUGAUCCGGCGUGGGGACAGUGUCUGGUGGGUAGUUUGACUGGGGCGGUCUCCUCCCAAAGUGUAACGGAGGAGCACGAAGGUCAGCUAAUCCUGGUCGGACAUCAGGAGGUUAGUGCAAUGGCAUAAGCUGGCUUGACUGCGAGAGUGACGGCUCGAGCAGGUGCGAAAGCAGGUCAUAGUGAUCCGGUGGUUCUGUAUGGAAGGGCCAUCGCUCAACGGAUAAAAGGUACUCCGGGGAUAACAGGCUGAUACCGCCCAAGAGUUCAUAUCGACGGCGGUGUUUGGCACCUCGAUGUCGGCUCAUCACAUCCUGGGGCUGAAGUAGGUCCCAAGGGUAUGGCUGUUCGCCAUUUAAAGUGGUACGCGAGCUGGGUUUAGAACGUCGUGAGACAGUUCGGUCCCUAUCUGCCGUGGGCGCUGGAGAAUUGAGGGGGGCUGCUCCCAGUACGAGAGGACCGGAGUGGACGCAUCACUGGUGUUCGGGUUGUCAUGCCAAUGGCACUGCCCGGUAGCUAAAUGCGGAAGAGAUAAGUGCUGAAAGCAUCUAAGCACGAAACUUGCCCCGAGAUGAGUUCUCCCUGAGACUGUAAGUCUCCUGAAGGAACGUUGAAGACGACGACGUUGAUAGGCCGGGUGUGUAAGCG
rnacentral:rRNA from 1 species